AAGUUUUCGGAUGGAUUCUUAUUUACCGAGUGGCGGACGGGUGAGUAACGCGUGGGUAACCUGCCUCAUACAGGGGGAUAACGAUUGGAAACGAUUGCUAAUACCGCAUAAGCGCACAGUACCACAUGGUGCAGUGUGAAAAACUCCGGUGGUGUGAGAUGGACCCGCGUCUGAUUAGCUAGUUGGCAGGGCAACGGCCUACCAAGGCGACGAUCAGUAGCCGGACUGAGAGGUUGAACGGCCACAUUGGGACUGAGAUACGGCCCAGACUCC
rnacentral:rRNA from 1 species